UUUUAAAAGAAUAGUUCAAACAUUUGGGGGAAAUUUACUCUAAGAAUUUGAUUGACGUUACACGAAGGGCGGUCUGGUUAAUAUGAAGCUAAAUAAAGCCGCUUCGCCAUAGAUUAGCAUAAAGACUGAAAACGGAUGUAAACAAGUUCCCACACUCGGCCCCAAAGGUAACAAAAUCUGACCAAUGUUACUUCAUUGGUCUGAAUCACAGACUGUAUAAAAAAGAUGGACAUAGCUUCUCUGCUAAUAUAGAAGCUUGUGAGCUACCAAUGUAUAGCAAACGUUGAAUGGCUCUUUGCAGAAAUGGAUAAAGGUGUGUUCAUGUCAAAGUGUUAGACAGCUGAUGACAAGGAAAUGAUCUGCCUUCACAGAGCUUUCUGAUUGGCAGAGCUAGCUAAAUUUCAACUUAACUUGAAAUUUCAAGUUAGGAAUGGCGAUUUUUAAAAUUUUUUUUCCAGCAAACAAGCCCCUGUAGUCUGAAAAGUGAAGCCAGUGCAGAAGUGCCUUCAACCUGCAUUCUUUAUAAUUGUCAACUCCUCUGGAAUGACUGACCCCAGUCACUACUUUCCUUAUGUCAUUGUGGUCCCUUUUAACACACAGCAUGAUGUCUGUUGGUAAAUUAUGAGCUGGUGUUGACUAUGAUAAAAUACGGUCCGUCCACAACAGUCCCAGUUUCUCACCACUUGUUUGUUAUGUCUGGUAUCAAAACAGUCCAAAAUGCCAAAUGCAGGGCUUCCAAACCAGUGGGUGAUGACAUGGUGGCUACGUCCGUCUUUUAAUUACAGUCUGAAGUGGCAUCUGUGCUGGGUAAUACUUCCAGUACCUGCAGAGUGUUUUAUUCAAAUAAUUUCCUUAAUAUGCUACAUGGCGAUUGUGAAGGAUGUAUUUAAUAUUAUUACCUUUGGUAUAAAUUUAUAAACAUUAUAUACUGAUUCUGUUUCUGUUUUCUUUUUUUGUGCCCACUUUGCAGCAUAUGUGUGUGGUGCAAAUAUAAAAAUGUUGACUUUGCAGUUCUCUUUAAUUAAUAAUGCAAAUUUAUAAUUGACAGAAAAAGUCAUCUUUAUAUAUCCUGGUUAAUAUCUUCAACUUUUUCAAAUGUGUAAAUUUCAAAUCAGUAAAUUUUAAACUUGGUACUAAACAGAUUGCCAGGAUUUCAUAUGCAGAAACACUUUCAGGGAUUUUAUCCUUCUUUGACUCAAUUAAGAAAAGUAAAUGUGAUUAAUGAGGAAAUCUCAAGCAGUGUUUUAAUGAACUGCUUAACGGGAAGGAGGCUGAGGCUGUUUGUUUCAAUUUAGAUGCUCAACUUCUGGUUUGUUUGGUUUUUAUAGUUUGUUUGUUUUUAUAGCCACAAGCCAUUAAUCUCAAGGCUCCUUCUGUAAAAAUGCCUUUGAUCUUUCUUUGUUAUCAAUAUAAUUGAAGUUUUUUUUGAACCGUAUGUUUGUUUUUUGCCAUUUGUUUGCUAAAAAACAGUUUUGGCUCUACAUGUUUUUGUUUUUUUGUUUUUUUUUGCUUUGAUGCAUGAUGUGUUGAUUAAGUUCUGGUUUUAUAUGUUUCAUAUUCUAUACAGUAUUGUUUUAUAAGAGUGUUUCUCGAGGUCCUUACUGUUUGUAUUUUCUAUGAACAUUUUGUAUUCCAUGUUUAUACUUUUAGUAGAUUUAUAUGUAUAUGUAAUAAAUUUGCUGUUACAAAU
ensembl:lncRNA